AUUGAACGCUGGCGGCAGGCCUCACACAUGCAAGUCGAGCGGAGCGGCGGACGGGUGAGUAAUGCCUAGGAAUCUGCAUGGUAGUGGGGGAUAACGUCCGGAAACGGGCGCUAAUACCGCAUACUAUCAGAUGAGCCUAGGUCGGAUAAGCUAGUUGGUGGGGUAAAGGCCUACCAAGGCGACGCUCCGUAACUGGUCUGAGAGGAUGAUCAGUCACACUGGAACUAGGACACGGUCCAGACUCCUACGGGAGGCAGCAGGGGGGAAUAUUGGACAAUGGGAGAAAGCCUGAUCAGGCCAUGCCGCGUGUGUGAAGAAGGUCUUCGGAUGUAAAAGCACUUUAAGUUGGGAGGCGUUACCAACAGAAUAAGCACCGGCUAACUACGUGCCAGCAGCCGCGGUAAUUC
rnacentral:rRNA from 1 species